GCCCGGGUAGCUCAAUUGGCUAGAGCGUGCGGCUUUUACAUUCAAUCAUCAACGAAUGGCCUACCGCAAGGUUGGGGGUUCGACCCCCCCCUCGGGCG